CUCCCCUCCCCCAGUCUUUUAGGGAAUUUCUGAAAACUACAGACCCAGUUGUAAUUGAGUGUGUGUAGGUGAGCUGUACAAGUUCCAGACAGGCCCCACAGGCCUCCCCACACCAGGGGCUGCCUUCCAAGUCAGGAGCCCUGGGGUCUGCCAGCACUUACCUGGUGCCUCUGGAAGAUUCUAAACAUCUUUGACACCCAGGGGAGAGGGAAUUUAGCACUCCCCACCCCAAAUUUGCUCUGCACCCUCCCCCACCACCAAGCAGGCCCUGACUUUGUCUAGAAUUCCUAUGGAGCUUUUGGGGUUUUGGGGGGUCAGGAGAUGUAACUGGUCCUGGAAGGUUCUGAGCCGAACCUGGCCGCAGGAUGUGCACACCCUCAACAGCUGCAGACCACAGCUCAGACUAUGAAACUCAGAGGAGCCACUUGACGGUGGGAGUGAUCAGAUGUCAGGAGGUUCUGGCAUCCCUGGGGGGAGGGGAGGCGAGGACAGGAUUAUCAUUCCAGUGUUACCUAAUACUGCUGCGUCUCCUGGUUGAGAAGAAGAGACACUUAGACAAUAAGCAACCAUAAUCUGGGUGUGGCUCCAUUUGGUGCCUGACGACUCGCUAGUCUCCCUCUGCUGGCGAAAUGUAGCAACGUGUCACCAUGUCCGAAGGCCUUUAGAGCAUGUCUCAGGUAUAUGUGGAAACACAAAUACCAGGCUGCUUUACUAGGAACCAUCCUCAAUACCUUGUUUCCAGUACAUUUUAUUUGUUUUACUCAUGUGCAUGGUACAGGGCUAUUUUACUGAAAGAGGAUCACAGAUGUUCUGCUUUUAUGGUGUUACAAGGGAUUAAUUAUAAAUUAACGAUUUAAAAUUCACCCCUAAAUCUCAAAGCAGAACCAAAAAUGUUGUCAUUUCUCCUAGGUUAAAAACCAGAGUUAAAUUGCUCAUUUAAGUGUCUAGUUUCAGGAGAGCACAAAGCCCUG